rnacentral:rRNA from 1 species
AUUGAACGCUAGCGGGAUGCUUUACACAUGCAAGUCGAACGAGUGGCGGACGGGUGAGUAAUAUAUCGGAACGUGCCCAGUAGCGGGGGAUAACUACUCGAAAGAGUGGCUAAUACCGCUUACUAUUCGAGCGGCCGAUAUCGGAUUAGCUAGUGGGUGGGGUAAAGGCUCACCAAGGCAACGAUCCGUAGCUGGUUUGAGAGGAAGACCAGCCACACUGGGACUGAGACACGGCCCAGACUCCUACGGGAGGCAGCAGUGGGGAAUUUUGGGCAAUGGGGGAAAGCCUGAUGCAGCCAUGCCGCGUGUAUGAGAAGGCCUUCGGGUUGUAAAGUACUUUUGGCAGAGAAGCGGUAUCUGCAGAAAAAGCACCGGCUAACUACGUGCCAGCAGCCGCGGUAAUAC